AAAAAAGGUAAGCUACUAAGAGCGAAUGGUGGAUGCCUUGACUGGUAAAGGCGAUGAAGGACGUACUAGACUGCGAUAAGCUACGGGGAGCUGUCAAGAAGCUUUGAUCCGUAGAUUUCCGAAUGGGGCAACCCAAUGUAUAGAGAUAUACAUUACCUAUAUAGGAGCGAACGAGGGGAAUUGAAACAUCUUAGUACCCUCAGGAAAAGAAAUCAAUAGAGAUUGCGUCAGUAGCGGCGAGCGAAAGCGCAAGAGGGCAAACCCAGUGCUUGCACUGGGGGUUGUAGGACUGCAAUGUGCAAGAGGUGAGUUUAGCAGAACAUUCUGGAAAGUAUAGCCAUAGAGGGUGAUAGUCCCGUAUGCGAAAAACAAACCUUAGCUAGCAGUAUCCUGAGUAGGGCGGGACACGAGAAAUCCUGUCUGAAGCUGGGUCGACCACGAUCCAACCCUAAAUACUAAUACCAGAUCGAUAGUGCACAAGUACCGUGAGGGAAAGGUGAAAAGAACUGAGGUGAUCAGAGUGAAAUAGAACCUGAAACCAUUUGCUUACAAUCAUUCAGAGCCCUAUGUAGCAAUACAGGGUGAUGGACUGCCUUUUGCAUAAUGAGCCUGCGAGUUGUGGUGUCUGGCAAGGUUAAGCAAACGCGAAGCCGUAGCGAAAGCGAGUCUGAAUAGGGCGCUUAGUCAGAUGCUGCAGACCCGAAACGAAGUGAUCUAUCCAUGAGCAAGUUGAAGCUAGUGUAAGAACUAGUGGAGGACUGAACCCAUAGGCGUUGAAAAGCCCCGGGAUGACUUGUGGAUAGGGGUGAAAGGCCAAUCAAACUUCGUGAUAGCUGGUUCUCUCCGAAAUAUAUUUAGGUAUAGCGUUGUGUCGUAAUAUAAGGGGGUAGAGCACUGAAUGGGCUAGGGCAUACACCAAUGUACCAAACCCUAUCAAACUCCGAAUACCUUAUAUGUAAUCACAGCAGUCAGGCGGCGAGUGAUAAAAUCCGUCGUCAAGAGGGAAACAACCCAGACUACCAGCUAAGGUCCCUAAAUCUUACUUA
rnacentral:rRNA from 1 species